rnacentral:rRNA from 1 species
AUUGAACGCUAGCGGGAUGCCUUACACAUGCAAGUCGAACGGCAGCACGGACUUCGGUCUGGUGGCGAGUGGCGAACGGGUGAGUAAUGUAUCGGAACGUGCCCAGUAGCGGGGGAUAACUACGCGAAAGCGUAGCUAAUACCGCAUACGCCCUACGGGGGAAAGCAGGGGAUCGCAAGACCUUGCACUAUUGGAGCGGCCGAUAUCGGAUUAGCUAGUUGGUGGGGUAACGGCUCACCAAGGCGACGAUCCGUAGCUGGUUUGAGAGGACGACCAGCCACACUGGGACUGAGACACGGCCCAGACUCCUACGGGAGGCAGCAGUGGGGAAUUUUGGACAAUGGGGGAAACCCUGAUCCAGCCAUCCCGCGUGUGCGAUGAAGGCCUUCGGGUUGUAAAGCACUUUUGGCAGGAAAGAAACGUCAUGGGUUAAUACCCCGUGAAACUGACGGUACCUGCAGAAUAAGCACCGGCUAACUACGUGCCAGCAGCCGCCGUAACAC